rnacentral:rRNA from 1 species
UACGAAGGGGGCUAGCGUUGCUCGGAAUGACUGGGCGUAAAGGGCGCGUAGGCGGUUCAUACAGUCAGAUGUGAAAUUCCUGGGCUUAAACCUGGGGGCUGCAUUUUGAUACGUGUGGGCUUGAGUAGGAAGAGGGUUGUGGAAUUCCCAGUGUAGAGGUGAAAUCGUUAGAUAUUGGGAAGAACACCGGUGGCGAAGGCGGCAACCUGGUCCUUUUACUGACGCUAGGCGCGAAAGCGUGGGGGAGCAAACAGG